UUCCAGACUCCUACGGGAGGCAGCAGUGGGGAAUAUUGAGCAAUGGGCGCAAGCCUGACCCAGCAACGCCGCGUGAAGGAAGAAGGCUUUCGGGUUGUAAACUUCUUUUGACAGGGAAGAGCAGAAGACGGUACCUGUCGAAUAAGCCACGGCUAACUACGUGCCAGCAGCCGCGGUAAUACGUAGGUGGCAAGCGUUGUCCGGAUUUACUGGGUGUAAAGGGCGUGUAGCCGGGCUUACAAGUCAGAUGUGAAAUCCGGGGGCUCAACCCCCGAACUGCAUUUGAAACUGUAGGUCUUGAGUAUCGGAGAGGCAGGCGGAAUUCCUAGUGUAGCGGUGAAAUGCAUAGAUAUCACGCAGAACUCCGAUUGCGAAGGCAGCAUACCGGCGCCCAACUGACGCUGAAGCACGAAAGCGUGGGUAUCGAACAGGAUUAGAUACCCCUGUAAG
rnacentral:rRNA from 1 species